rnacentral:rRNA from 1 species
GGCGUGGAUUAGGCAUGCAAGUCGUGCGUGAAGUCAGCUUCGGCUGGUUAGUAAAGCGGCGAACGGGUGAGUAACGCGUGGGAAAUCUGCCUUCGGGUCGGGGGAUAACACUCCUAACGGGGUGCUAAUACCGCAUGACAUCUCCGGAUUGCAUAGUCAGGAGAUCAAAGGUGGCCUCUGCUUGCAAGCUAUCGCCUGAAGAUGAUCCCGCGUCCGAUUAGCUUGUUGGUGAGGUAACGGCUCACCAAGGCGACGAUCGGUAGCUGGUCUGAGAGGAUGAUCAGCCACACUGGAACUGAGACACGGUCCAGACUCCUACGGGAGGCAGCAGUCGGGAAUUUUGGGCAAUGGGCGAAAGCCUGACCCAGCAACGCCGCGUGAGGGAUGAAGGCCCUCGGGUCGUAAACCUCUGUCGGGAGGGAAGAAUUGGCUCUGGGCGAAUAGGCCAGGGCUUUGACGGUACCUCCAAAGGAAGCGCCGGCUAACUCCGUG